UACGAGUGCCUCGAGCGUUAUCCGGAAUUAUUGGGCGUAAAGAGCUCGUAGGCGGUUUUUCGCGUCUGCUGUGAAAACGCGAGGCUCAACCUCGCGCCUGCAGUGGGUACGGGCAGACUAGAGUGCGGUAGGGGAGAUUGGAAUUCCUGGUGUAGCGGUGAAAUGCGCAGAUAUCAGGAGGAACACCGGUGGCGAAGGCGGAUCUCUGGGCCUUACCUGACGCUGAGGCGCGAAAGCUAGGGGAGCGAACAGG
rnacentral:rRNA from 1 species